GGCCAGGCCCAAAGAAGCUUCAGAUUACACCUAGAAGCCCAUUGAUUUCCAAGAUAUUAAUCGCAUAUUACAUGUUGGGCCAGGCCCACAUUGGACUUCUUGCGCUUUUCCUGAGUUUGUGCAGGAUCCAUCCCCCAAGAAUUAGGGUUUGUCACGUAUGUAUAUAAACGCAAAUUCACCUCCGUUUUGCUCUCCGUUCCUCUCCAAAACCCCUCGAAAUCGCGCCUGCCGUCAGAUCGGAGCUAGGGUUCUGAGGGGGAAGCAACCAGAGCGAUUCGUUAACUCGUCACCAUGAGAGCCAAGUGGAAGAAGAAGCGCAUGAGGAGGUUGAAGAGGAAGCGCAGAAAGAUGAGGCAGAGAUCGAAGUAGACUUCCUCAUCAAGCGGGUCUCAUCUCUAGUUGUGUUCUAUCGUUGAGGCAUCUUACUUUUCCGGAACUAGUACUUGUUUGAAGAUUAGGCUUCUCGUUUUUCGCCGCUCCAGGUCUUUCUUGUUGGAUUCGAACACCUUGAUGAAUCCAGUUCGUAACUUUUGGCGCUUUGAA